rnacentral:lncRNA from 1 species
GGGCACCGAUGGUCGUCGCCGGCCACCGGUUUGGGUUCCUUCGGAUGGCGGUGCGCUCUCUUCCGAUUGUCGACCAUUCCCAUGCUGGCUGACCACCGAUCGGCCAACCUUAUGAGGGGACCAUUCGGUCCCCUGUCUCACCUAUUUCACCCAUGGGAGGCCACGGGAAGAAGUAAAAGAAGGAAGAAAAAGAAAAAGAAAAAAGAAAAAGAAAAGAAAAAAGAAAAGAAAAGAAAAAGGAAAAGAAAAGAAAAGAAAAAUAAAUAAAUAAAUAUGAGAGAAAGUUUUUUUCUCUCUCCCUUCAGCCUGAAUCAUUACUUUCUCUAUCUAGAAUUGGACUUUCUCUCUCUAUUUUUUCUCUCUAAAAUUUUCUCUCUAGAUUGUUUCUCUCUAGUGAUGGAUUUCUCUCUCCAAAGUUAUCCUUUUAAGAUUAGCGUAGUGAAAGGCUUCAUUUGAUGAUUUUGAUCGAGUUUAGUAAAGAGUCCGAUCUCAAGUAGGGUUUUGAUUUAAAAUUUAUUUAGAUUUAAUUUUGAAUUAAAAUUAAUAUAAAAAUAUAAUUUUUAAUAAUAGGUACUGAAGAAUCUCCUAGAGAUUGAUUGACCUAUUCGUUCAGUGAUCUGUGGAAGGUAAGUAAUGAAUCAUCUUUUCAAGAUAUUUCAUAUUUAUUUUAAAGAUUAAAUAAUUAUUCUUUGAGAUUAUGUAUGAUUUAUGAAAUUAUAUUUUGAACGAAAAGUGAUUCUGAAAUACUAUGAUUUAUUGAUUAUGCAUAUGUUCAGUGAAAAUUAUGAUAUGUUAUGAUACAAAAAUAUUUUGA